rnacentral:rRNA from 1 species
UACGUAGGGCGCAAGCGUUGUCCGGAAUUAUUGGGCGUAAAGAGCUCGUAGGCGGUCUGUCACGUCUGCUGUGAAAACCCGAGGCUCAACCUCGGGCUUGCAGUGGGUACGGGCAGACUAGAGUGCGGUAGGGGAGACUGGAAUUCCUGGUGUAGCGGUAAAAUAGCACAGAUAUCAGGAGGAACACCGAUGGCGAAGGCAGGUCUCUGGGCCGGCAACUGACGCUGAGGAGCGAAAGCGUGGGUAGCAAACAGGAUUAGAUA